UCAUUCUGUGAUGUGGUUGUUUUGAUUUGAUUUUCCAAUCUAGUAGCGCUUGCACGUACAGAACUGGUCAGACUCGCUCUGGAAGAUAUUAUUUUAACGUUUAAAAAUGUACUUUCGUUCCAAGCAGGAACAAAGUCCCCAAAUUUUGACAUUUCACAUGAAAGCAGCAAGUUGAAACAUUAUUAGUUGGGAUGGAGGGAAGCGGUUUGCUUAGCUAAGAUUACGAAUGUCGUUGUUUGGGGCUUUAUUAUGAUUAUUAUUCGCACGUGUUCUCAGACUUUUCGGUCAGGUAGGUAAAUGGGGAGGAAAGCGGUUUCGAAAGGGAAGGCGGGAGGUUGCCACCAUGACAAGAGAAACGGAGCGGCCCCGCCGGAGCUCAGCGUGGACACGCAUAAAACGGAGCUGCUCCCGAAAAAUGCUUCCAAGAGAACAUAUUCAUUUUGAUUUGUGGAAAACAUUUCACUGGAAGAUUGUGACUUGUUCUGAUGGUUUCUUUUAUUUCCUGGACAGAGAAAUCCAGCAGAAGAGUGUCCUGAAAGCCUUCCCCAGCGCCCAGACAGGAACGGACAGUGAUCCUCACGGCUCCGGCACGGGAGACGCGGCGGCGGGAAGGGCUCUGGUCUCCCACCGUGGCCGCGGGCGACGGCGGCUCCCACCCCCCCCCCCCCCCCCCCCCGCCUCCCUGUUCCUCUCGACGGGGCGGCGGGAACCAGAGUGGGGGCCUUUCCUUCUGGCCUUGUUGUCUCGAAACGGGUUCUUUCACUAGGUGUGAAAGCCGAUUCGCACACAGAGUUGAGGUACUUGAUUUAUCUACAGUUAUGCGCAGAAAGGGGUCCUGCAAUUAAAAAUAAUACAUAAUAUUCCUCACCCCAAGCGGUGAGUGGAACACGGCCACGCUGCUUUGUAGCAAAGGCACUGAGGUGCCCGUUGAUAAAACCGUCAGAAUUAGGCCAUUUUAGUCACCGACUCUCAAAACCUUUAAAACGGCCGAGGAGCAAUAAAAGUAAUCCCUAACGCA